rnacentral:rRNA from 1 species
GCGUGCCUAACACAUGCAAGUCGAGCGAAGCAAUAGGUGCUUGCACCAAUUGACUGAGCGGCGGACGGGUGAGUAACGCGUGGGCAACCUGCCUUACACAGAGGGAUAACACCGGGAAACUGGUGCUAAUACCGCAUGACAUUAUUUUAUCGCAUGGUAGAAUAAUUAAAGGAGUUAAAUCUGGUGUAAGAUGGGUCCGCGUCUGAUUAGCUAGUUGGUGGGGUAAAGGCCUACCAAGGCGACGAUCAGUAGCCGGACUGAGAGGUUGAUC